rnacentral:rRNA from 1 species
AUUGAAUUUGAUUCUAGUUCAAUGGAAAUGGUUCAGGAAUAAAAUUACAUGUGAAUUUUUGUGGGAUAUAAUUUAAAUCUAAAUGGUGUAAAUUUGAUUUUAUUCGCAGUUUUUAUAUUUAAUUAUUUAAUUAAUUAAGAAUUAGUUAAUUCCAAUUAUAACUAGCUUAAUGUUGUGCCAGCGGCUGCGGUUACACAACUAGUUAAAAUUAUUUAUAUUUAAAUUUAUAUUAUUAAAGGGAAGUUUUGUUUAAAAAUUUAUUUAUUUAGGUGAAAUUUAUAUUUAUGUUUUUUAUGAAGGUAGUUAAGUUAUAUGAAAUUUUUAAUUAAAAACUAGGAUUAGAUACCCUAUUAUUAAAAAUGUAAAAUGAUUAUGGUAUUAAUAGUUAUGAUCUUUAAAUUAAAAGAAUUUGACGGUAAUUUAAUCUUUUCAGAGGAACCUGUUCUUUAAUCGAUAAUCCACGAUAAAUUUUACCUUAGUUUGUAGUUUAUAUACCUCUGUUCAAAGAAUAUUUUAUUAGGAUUAAUUAUAUUCUUUUAUUUUUAUUAAAACUGAUAACAGGUCAAGGUGUAGUAUACUAAGGAAAGUAAUGGGUUACAUUUAUUAAUUAGAUCAUGGAAUAUCUUAUGUAUAAGGGAUUAUGAAAUUGGAUUUGGUAGUAAUAACUUUUAUAUUUAAGUUGUGAUAAUUGCUCUUUAUUAAGUACAUAUCGCCCGUCGCUCUCAUUAUAAGGUGAGAUAAGUCGUAACAAAGUAGGUUUACCGGAAGGUGAACCUGGAAUUAUAAU